GACGGAGGGCGCAAGCGUUGUUCGGAAUUACUGGGCGUAAAGCGCGGGCAGGUGGUCUGUUAAGUCGUUUGUGAAACUCCGGGGCUCAACCCCGUGAAAUGCGUACGAUACUGGCAGGCUGGAGAUCGGUAGAGGCUAGCGGAAUUCCUGGUGUAGCGGUGGAAGGCGUAGAUAUCAGGAAGAACACCUGUGGCGAAGGCGGCUAGCUGGGCCGAGUCUGACACUCAUCCGCGAAAGCGUGGGGAGCAAACAGG
rnacentral:rRNA from 1 species